GACGAACGCUGGCGGCGUGCUUAACACAUGCAAGUCGAACGAGUGGCGAACGGGUGAGUAACACGUGGGUGAUCUGCCUUGCACUGCGGGAUAAGCUUGGGAAACUGGGUCUAAUACCGGAUAGUGCAAGAUGAGCUCGCGGCCUAUUAGCUUGUUGGUGGGGUAAUGGCUAUCAAGGCGCGACGGGUAGCCCGCCUGAGAGGUUGUACGGCCACAUUGCUCCUGCGAUACGCCCCAGACUCCUACGUUACGCAGUAGUCGGGAAUAUUGCGCAACCGGCCGACGCCUGAUGCAGCGACCCCGCGUUGGGGAUGUACGCUUUCGGGUUGUAAACUCCUUUCGGCAGGGACGCGGUACCUGUAUAAGAAGCACCGGCUAACUACGUGCCAGCAGCCGCGGUAAUUC
rnacentral:rRNA from 1 species